GACGAACGCUGGCGGCGUGCUUAACACAUGCAAGUCGAACGGAAAGGCCCUGCUUUUGUGGGGUGCUCGAGUGGCGAACGGGUGAGUAACACGUAAGUAACCUGCCCUUGACUUUGGGAUAACUUCAGGAAACUGGGGCUAAUACCGGAUAGGAGCUCCUGCUGCAUGGUGGGGGUUGGAAAGUUUCGGCGGUUGGGGAUGGACUCGCGGCUUAUCAGCUUGUUGGUGGGGUAGUGGCUUACCAAGGCUUUGACGGGUAGCCGGCCUGAGAGGGUGACCGGCCACAUUGGGACUGAGAUACGGCCCAGACUCCUACGGGAGGUAGCAGUGGGGAAUAUUGCACAAUGGGCGGAAGCCUGAUGCAGCAACGCCGCGUGCGGGAUGACGGCCUUCGGGUUGUAAACCGCUUUCGCCUGUGACGAAGCGUGAGUGACGGUAAUGGGUAAAGAAGCACCGGCUAACUACGUG
rnacentral:rRNA from 1 species